rnacentral:rRNA from 1 species
GAUGAACGCUGGCGGCGUGCUUAAUACAUGCAAGUCGAGCGAAGCGCGGACGGGUGUGUAACACGUGGAUAACCUCCUAUAAGACUGGGAUAAAUUCGGGAAACCUGAGCUAACCCGGCUCCUUAUAGAUGGAUCCGCGCUGCAUUAGCUAGUUGGUAAGGUAACGGCUUACCAAGGCAACGAUGCAUAGCCGACCUGAGAGGGUGAUCGGCCAGACUGGAACUGAGACACGGUCCAGAGUCCUACGGGAGGCAGCGGUAGGGAAUAUGCCGAAAUGGGCGAAAGCCUGACGGAGCAAGGCCGCGUGAGUGAAGAAGGUCUUCGGAUCGUAAAACGCUGUUAAUAGGGAAGCGGGACCUAAUCAGAAAGCCACGGAUAGCUACGUGCCAGCAGCCGCGGUAAUAC